CUGAUAAUAUAUUAAAGGGCUGCAGUAUUUUGACUGUACAAAGGUAGCAUAAUCAAUAGUCUUUUAAUUGAUGACUUGUAUGAAGGAUUGGAUGAAAUAUAUACUGUCUUUUAAUUAUAUUAAGAAUUUAAUUUUUUAAUUAAAAAGUUAAAAUAAAUUUAAAAGACGAGAAGACCCUAUAGAGUUUUAUAUUUAGUUUUAUUGAAUUUAUUUUUUAGAUUAUUAAUUAAAAUAAAUUUUAAAUAUUUUAUUGGGGUGAUGGAAAAAUUUAAUUAACUUUUUUUAAUAAAAAUUCAUUGAUUUAUGAUUGUUUUGAUCCAAAAAUUUUGAUUAUAAGAAAAAAUUACCUUAGGGAUAACAGCGUAAUUUUUUUUUUUAGUUCAAAUAAGAAAAAGAGUUUGCGACCUCGAUGUUGGAUUAAGAUAUAAUUUAUAUGCAAAAGUAUAAAAUUUGAUC
rnacentral:rRNA from 1 species